GGCUGCAGAAUUUAUAACUGUACAAAGGUAGCAUAAUAAUUUGUUUUUUAAUUAAAAACUAGUAUGAAUGAUUAAAUGAAAUAUAAACUGUUUCAAUAAAAUAAAAAUUUAAAUUUUUAUUUAAGUUAAAAAACUUAAAUAAAUUUAAAAGACGACAAGACCCUAUAGAAUUUUAUUUAUUUAUUAAAUAUAAAAUUUUAUUAAAUUUUUAUUAUUAAAAAAAUAAAUUUAAUUGGGGUAAUUUAAAAAUUUAAAAAAUUUUUUUUUUAUAAAACAAUAAUUAUUGAAUAAAAUAUCUUAAAAUUUAAAUUAUUAAAAUUAAUUACCUUAGGGAUAACAGCAUAAUUUUUUUUAAAAGAUCUUAUU
rnacentral:rRNA from 1 species